CCGCGUCCCAUCUCUAUGGCUCUGUCUCUUCUGAGUGGUUCAGGCAAAUGGAGGCACACGUGCCCGCACUUCCCUGGGGCUGGCGGGACGCACGCCGCUGCGGGGAUGUGCGCUUUCCGUUAGCUGUCCGUGGAGGUUGUGUGGUUUCCACACCUGGACACUGGAGACAUGGUCUCCUGCCCAGGCUUUAUUGUCAUCCCUCAACCAAAUGUGGCUCCUGCUGACGUGACCCGCAGCCACUCCUCAUGCCACCAGGCGUGGGCAGGCGCGGCGGAGGCCCGCCCGCCGCUGCUGAGGUCCCGCGGGGCGUCAGCCCUGGGCUGUCUCCUGCUGGUCUCCAGGCCUUGCGGAUCCCGUGCCGGCGCUGCAGGAGAGCAGCGGUGUCUGUCUAAGGCGGAGUGGAAGUGUGCGCGGAGUGGAAGUGUGCGGGGGGACGCGCACGGCACGCUCCCGCCAGCCUCCGUGCGUUCCUCCUUGACGGCUCCAUGGGCAAGAAAAGCAGCCAUUCGCGUGGGAGCCUCUGCCGCCCCGGACUCGCCGCUGCACUGAAGAACACGCGCACGGUGUAGCCUGGGUGCCGAGGAAAUGGGUCGAAAUGCCUUAAAGUUAAAGCAGUUGCUCUGUUGCGAGUGACCGUCCACAACACUCAGAAAAAAAUGCUGUUUUCAGGCUUGAUCAGAACGUUAGUGGAAACAUUUUUGUGUUCAGGCUCUUUUGGUGACAUGCGACUGAAGUGACUGAGCUGUGAAUUAUGCGUUUUAGACCAGGGCACUUCUGUCCUGGCCUCUGAUGAACAUUCCAGAAGGCCCCCAGAACCUGACGGACACUUGCUCACUCUGUCCCCUCGUCCCCCUGCAAGGGGCCGGGAAACAGUCAUAACGAGAGUAAAUGGUGCCGGCCAGGGAGUGCCCAGUGCUGGCCUUUUCAAGGUCCCUUUCAGGACAAGGGCCCUGCCUCCGUGUCUUCUGUUUGCCAGGAGUCACCUUACCCCUCCCACACAGCGCGAGGACAGGGACAGGGAAGCAGAUCUGGGGGGGAGAGCCGAGCUGGAACCUGCGGCUUCCCAGCCUCCGCCCUGCGCGCGUGCCUGGCCCCUGGGCUUCCACGCCCUGAGCAGCGGGACAACAGCCCCUUGCUGGGCGGGGCGGAACCCCACGGGGCAGGCGGAACUGGGCUGAGCAGCCCUCUUCUCUUUAUUUCUAAGAGACAGGGAACAGCUACCCCGUCACCUGCAUUUCCAGGGGACAUCACAUCCACACCCUCUUGCAUUAUUGCCUGUGGCCACCGCGGGCAGACAUCCCUCAGUGCCCACACCUCUGUCGCCCUCAGCCACAGCAGGGCCUGAGCUCCCCGGGGAGACACGGGGUUUCUGCCACCAGGCCACAGAGCGCCCCUUCUCCUCUGUUCCAGGGGGCGAUCGCAGCUCAGUGUCACUGUGUGUGGAGAGUGUUCAGUCACAGCAACCAACCCGCUGUCCGAUCAGCGGCUCUAGCAGGAUUCUGCUGCACACGCCGCCUCUCCUGCCUCCCUCCCGGGUGCGGGCAGAGGCCCCAGUUCGCCUGCGUGCGGCUGCACCGCUGCCGGAGAAUGAGCGGAGACAGCAGAUGGUUUGUGGUGUGGAUUCUCCCCCAGUUUUUCCAGAACGUUCAGCCAGCACCGUGGGCCUCCCUCCUAGCGGCACGCGGGGACCUCGCAGCUGUGCACCGCCGCGGCCUGGGCACCGCACUGCUGGCAGAAAGGCAAGGCGGGCAGGGGCAGGACGCCGGCCACGUGACCUGGAUCCGAACCGAGCUCGGCACGGCCUUUCUUCAGAGCCAGCAGACGCGUAGAGGAUGCCCCUCUCCCAGGGCUUAGUUACCCUGGUAAAAGUCCUUCUGGGGAAAUACUCGGGGAGUGUUUACUGUGCGUGCUGUGGCGGCGGCUCCACGACUCAUCUCAAAAGUACACGGCCCUGUCUUCAGUUACUGGGCUCUGGUCUGAGAGUCGCGCAGAGAGGUUGGCGCCGGCUGUUGCUGUCCUUGCUACCUGACAUGCGGGUUGUCCUGGCAGCGCUGAGGCCAACCGCGGCCAGCCCCCAUGCGGCUGGCCUCUGAACAGCGAGGGUGUUGGCCUGUGGGUCUGCCUGCCCUGGCUUCACCGACCCUUCCUGGGUUUACAUUCGCCUCUCGUUUGCUAUUCCAGGAUCCUAUUCUGCCUAUCAGGAGUGGAAGGCCCAGUUCUGUGGAAGUUUCUAGACUACAGAGGAGAUCCACCAUCAAGCUCCUCAAAAAUAUCAAUGCUCCUGCCAUCUGCACCCCACCGCCGACUCACCCCUGAUGGCUUCGGGGAAGGUCCUCCGGGCCUCCCUGGGGAGCGUGAGCAAGGGCGAAAUCCUUGCCUGCAAUAUUCAGUACGAUAACAUGUGGCACAGGCUUGCAGCCUGGAGCAACAGGCCGCACCACACAGCCCAGGUGUGCAGGAGGCUCGACCACCUAGGUGUGUGGAAGCACAUUCGAUGGUGUUCACACAACUGAAUCCCCUGAGGAUCCAUUUCUCAGAAUGUGUUCCUGCCAUUAAAUGACACAUGGCUGUCAUUUGUUCUUCUGAGCCUACUUGGCAGCAUCAGGGGCCAACUCCGCAGUCCUGUGAUCAUCCUCGUCUCUGCACUGACCAGACACCAUGGCCACCAUGUGUCCCAGCACUUCGCCUUCCACUUGCACCUCGCUCCAAUCUAUCACGGGAUUAUGACUCGAGUAGUCACGAUGGCAUUGCAUGUCCAAUGUUAUCACCAUCUCUUACUGUUAGGGACCGACCUUCCACAGCCCCACCGGACAGAAAAGCAGAGACAUUGAGGAUGCAAUCACACAAGA